GACGAACGCUGGCGGCGUGCCUAACACAUGCAAGUCGAGCGAGGUAUUUAUACCUAGCGGCGGACGGGUGAGUAACACGUGGGUAACCUGCCUCAUAGAGGGGAAUAGCCUUCCGAAAGGGAGAUUAAUACCGCAUAAUAUAUACCGGUAGCAUUAAUGGUAUAUCAAAGGAGAAAUCCGCUAUGAGAUGGGCCCGCGGCGCAUUAGCUAGUUGGAGAGGUAACGGCUCACCAAGGCGACGAUGCGUAGCCGACCUGAGAGGGUGAUCGGCCACAUUGGAACUGAGACACGGUCCAGACUCCUACGGGAGGCAGCAGUGGGGAAUAUUGCACAAUGGGGGAAACCCUGAUGCAGCAACGCCGCGUGAAUGAUGACGGCCUCGGUUGUAAAG
rnacentral:rRNA from 1 species